UACGUAGGGUGCGAGCGUUAAUCGGAAUUACUGGGCGUAAAGCGUGCGCAGGCGGUUUUGUAAGCCAGAUGUGAAAGCCCCGGGCUCAACCUGGGAACUGCAUUUGUGACUGCAUGGCUGGAGUGCGGCAGAGGGGGAUGGAAUUCCGCGUGUAGCAGUGAAAUGCGUAGAUAUCGAGAGGAACACCAGUGGCGAAGGCGGACGUCCCAUGGCUG
rnacentral:rRNA from 1 species